rnacentral:sRNA from 1 species
CCUCCCCCACGCGCAUGCGCGGCGCAUGCGUGGCCCGGGGUCUCGGGGCGUUGCUGGGAAACAUCUGCUGAUGGUUGCGGCGGGCACCGGCCGACAUGGCGGCAGCGGUGGCCUGAAGCCUGGCCCCUUUUCCAUCUUCUGUGAAAUGGGGCUGUGGUUGAGAGCUGGGGGCCUGGCAGGGCUGGUCACAGCACAGGGACAUGCCGACUGCUGGGCUGGGCAGGGUGCAUGGCCGCCCCUGAAGUGUAGUUUUGGGGUAAGAAGGAAUGGAGUUCAGGAAUUCCCUCACAGCCCUGCCUGUGGCUCUGGGCUGCUCCCGCCAGCGUUGCACCCUGAGCCUGGCAAUCCACGGAGGCCUGGUGUAGGGGCUCAGGGUCGAGGGCAGAGCAGGCCGGGCAGGGCCGAGGGCAGAGCAGGCCGGGCAGAGCCGAGAGUGCCAUCCCUGUCCGCACACGCUGCCGUUGUAGUUGAGAGAGGCCCUCAGUGGGUGCGGGGCUCAAGGCGGCUUAGUGGGCAGGCAUGGGCUGUGACAAGUGUCACUCAGGACGUGUGUGUGCGGUUCGGGAGUCCCACGGCCGAGGGAGGGAUUAGUGGCGCUUUUAGGCCUGG